GACGAACGCUGGCGGCGUGCCUGAUACAUGCAAGUCGAGCGCAGGAAAUCGAUGGAACCCUUCGGGGGGAAGUCGACGGGAUGAGCGGCGGACGGGUGAGUAACACGUAAAGAACCUGCCCUCAGGUCUGGGAUAACCACGAGAAAUCGGGGCUAAUACCGGAUGGGUCAUCGGACCGCAUGGUCCGAGGAUGAAAGGCGCUCCGGCGUCGCCUGGGGAUGGCUUUGCGGUGCAUUAGCUAGUUGGUGGGGUAAUGGCCCACCAAGGCGACGAUGCAUAGCCGACCUGAGAGGGUGAUCGGCCACACUGGGACUGAGACACGGCCCAGACUCCUACGGGAGGCAGCAGUAGGGAAUCUUCCACAAUGGACGAAAGUCUGAUGGAGCAACGCCGCGUGAACGAUGAAGGCCUUCGGGUCGUAAAGUUCUGUUGUAAGGGAAGAACAAGUGCCGCAGGCAAUGGCGGCACCUUGACGGUACCUUGCGAGAAAGCCACGGCUAACUACGUGCCAGCCGCCGCGGUAAUAC
rnacentral:rRNA from 1 species